GCCGCACACGUGCACGUUGCGAUAGAACGAAAGCGGUCACCAACCACGUGGUUGCCUAUAAUACGCGACGCACAUCCUAUAGCAUCCGUGCAUCGUAUAAUUCAUUCGGUUCCACCUGACAUUGUUAACGUACCGCAAAGAAACUUAAAUAACCGCAAUACUUGGGAAUAAUAGCUCGACCAAUAAGUGUUCCCCGAUAAUUGGAUUUCGCGUUAAAUUAUACACUUUGCAAUAUAUCGUAUAGACAAAUACGAAAAAUCUAAUCUAAGAAUUAUAACCUCUACUCUCACGGAACGUCGAAAACGAUUAAGGACACGAAAUUAUCGAAAUUAUUGCACACAUCUAAAAAUUGUCUUACGUUUGUCCAAUCGAGAGGUAGAGACGCCGAAAGACGCAGGGCUUCCCUUUUUUUUCCUGAUCCCGUGUCAAAGACGUGCGAUGCGCAAAGGAAGAAAGAUACGAGCAAUGCACAGCACUGAUUGAAGCACCAUGUGCCAAGGAAUCUCCGCGUACCCGCGCGGUCGGAGGCUGUCUAAAAGCACAAGACAAUCGAUCUCGGCGGCCGGUAUCUCGGUGGCGAAAAAACGGGGACAAAGGCGACGACGAAUGCGAGCGCGUAGAGAAGGUAGGGCCGGUGAGACGUUUCGUGAAAACCCAGCCACGGCCGAUUCCCGAUUUCUUCCAAACCUCCGACCGUGGUCAACCGUCCUCGGAGGGUCCCCGUCGCGACUGAUCCUCCCGUGUUUACCGCGAUGCACCACGAUAUCUGUCACGCCAGCUAGAAAGACACGUUACAGCCUGCUGUGGCUCGAUGGUGCACGCGAGAACUCGUGGAGUCGGAAUGGGGUACACCUGUCCAAUAUAGAGAGUAUACUAUAAACGUGGCGGCCCGCCCCCUGACCCAGACACACAGUACAGUUAUAUAGGUCCCUCACGAACCGGAGGAUAUCUCUUCUCGUUCGAACCACACUCCUGACGACCACGACCACGAUUCUUGUGAACGUGGUCGCGGUGGUGCUCCUAUUCGUCGUUCUUGUCCUUCUCGUUAUCCCUGUUAUCGCGUGAUGCGCGCCACUUGUCGGCCGCGACGUACGUUAUGUCGCCGCGACGUCUUUAACAUCUUUCUGCCUCCGUCUAUCUCCCGUCCCUCCACCCAGUUGUUUAGUUCGAUUUGAAACGAAACGCAAACGUCCAUUUAAUCCCCGAAAACAAUCGAUGAAUUCGUUCCUCCAGAUCUUGCAUCGAAGUUCAAAUGUUUCGAUAUAAUUUACGUUACGUAAAUCGUGGAAUUUGUUUUAUUAAACAUUAUCACUUAUAAUUCAAAGAGGAAUAUUAAACAUUAAAAUUAUGCAAUGAAAUAAUUUCUAAAUAAUCUUUAUGAUAUAUUCGUAAUUCGAUGAAUUAAUUGUUUAAAACUUUGAUAUAUCGAAGUUUUAAGUUUUAUAUAUAUAUGUAUAUAGUUCGAAUCUAGAUCGAAAACAAAUGUUUCAUUUAUCUGUUUAUUUCGCAUAAAGCGUCAAGUUUGUAGUACACUUUCAUCCUAAUUACUCGGAACAAUGUUUGCGUAGAUACGUGUGUGUGUGUGUGUACUCGGAGACGUAUGAAUGUGUAAAUGGGUGAAUCAGUUGACAGUCAACCGGCUGGCUGGUCGACCGACCGACCGACCGACUGACCGCACAUACAUUGUUGACCUAUAGAUGAGAAUCUGCCGGUACUGUCUCCUUGGGUAACAAUGUAACAAUGUAGCAACGUGAUGAUUAUUCGAUUUCUUAUUCGCGAAUAUAUGUAUAGCGAGAAAUAUCCCGAGAAGUGGAAUAAUUUUUUUUCUUUUUAAUUGUUUUUUAAUUUAAAUUUUAAUUGUUUUAAAAAUUGGAAUAAAGAUAAUGGUUAAAUGGAAUGUGUAUAUGAAGAGGGAAAAUCGUAUGCGAGGAUUCGAUAGAUGAAGAGACAUUUCUAAUGAUUAAUGUAAAUUUUUUUUUUUUUUUUUUAUGUAUAUUGUUGUGUGACGGCAACAUAAAAAACAGACACGUUUUCAUACAUGAAUACACUAUUUGAUACAUUGAUAUAUUACAUGAUUAUUGAUUACUACGAGAUCACAAACAAUAGUUUUGUGCACGCCGCUGUCGGAAUGACAAUGUUGUUAACAAGCGAUUACGCUAUCGCUUUUUGAAUAGUAUAUAUUUACAAUUGCAUUUACACAAAAUACCUACAAUUCUUUUUUUUUUUUUCUGCGUAUUUACAUUAGAUUUACGAUACAAAUAAAAUACAUCAUAUUUGUUGUUGAAUUCGAUGGUUUCAUCGUAUUUGCGACUGUGCAAGUUUUUAUUAUAUAACAAACUGUGUGGCACAGAGAUCAACCAUCUUACUUCACCACGCGACUGAAUAGCGCAUCAUCCUCCAUCCAAGACAUGAUUUAUCAAAUACAUAAGAAUCGUAAAAUCGCAAAGUUUGAAACAUCUUUUUAAUCGUCCCUCGUACACGUCUUAUAUACGUCUUUGCCGUUAUAAUUGACACGUUGCGAAACAGGUAUUUCAUAUAUCUUUAAAUCAGAUUAAAAUGACAGUUACGACAUUCAAGUGUCGAACAUUAAACAUAGCGAGUAUUAUGAGUAUUAUGAUAACUUUUACGUAAUAUUUGUGUACAAGGUAAACUCUUUGCUAACAUCAAUUGAUAUUAAAUUGAUACUGCACGUAUAAAUUAAAUUUAUAUUGUAAUAAAAUUUCAUUUUGAACAUGUGUAGUGAAUUUCUAAAAUAUGAAUUGUAUUCGUACAAAAACUUAACAAUGAUGCGUUUUUAACUUCAUCAAAUCACUGUUUUCUUUUUUUUUUGUGUUUUUUUUUGUUUUUGUUUUUGUUUUUUUUUUCCUUUUUCUUUUUUUUUUUUAAUUAAUAUAUUGUCUUCGAUGUAUUACGCUAUCUUAUCAUGGUAAAGUUCUAAGACAUUUUUAGAAACCAUCAGGAUUUGAAAAUCCAAUUUGAUUUUCACAAAAUCGUUCUAAAUACUAUCCAACAUUGAUGGCCUAAUGAUGGAUCAUCAAGUAUAUAUAAAUUAAUGGUUAUUCGUUAAUUGUUCUAUUCGGCCAUUGCUUGCGUGCUUGUUUUUAUUUAUACUUUGUUUCUUCACCAAGGUGCUCUUUCUGUUGAUAGAUAUAAUCAAAACGAACAAUUCCAUUAACCAUAAUUUCGGCAAGAUUUCAUUCACGUAUUCAUGACCACAGUGAACCAGCACCGAAAAGAUAUAAGAAUAUAAGAAAGAAAAA